CGGAGGAUCCGAGCGUUAUCCGGAUUUAUUGGGUUUAAAGGGUGCGUAGGCGGGAUAGUAAGUCAGUGGUGAAAGCCCGCAGCUCAACUGCGGAACUGCCAUUGAUACUGCUAACCUUGAGUAUGUAUGAUGUGGGCGGAAUGUGCAGUGUAGCGGUGAAAUGCUUAGAUAUUGCACAGAACACCGAUUGCGAAGGCAGCUCACAAAACCAUAACUGACGCUGAGGCACGAAAGCGUGGGGAUCAAACAGGAUUAGAUACCCUGGUAGUCCACGCCUUAAACGUUGAAUACUCGAUGUGUGCGAUAUACUGUACGCGUCUAAGCGAAAGUGAUAAGUAUUCCACCUGGGGAUACGCUCGCAAGAUG
rnacentral:rRNA from 1 species